GUUCUUGCUUCGGCAGUACAUAUAUUAAAAUUGGAAUGAUAGCGAGAAGAUUAGCCUGGUCCCUGCGCAAGGAUAACAUGAAAAAUCACGAAAUAUUCCAUACAUUA